AACAACCACCACCCAUGACACAUUAUUGCCCACACCAUUCUCUUUCUCUCCCAACCGUGAAACUCUCACACUAACACUCUGACACCACCCCCACUUUCUUCAUUGUAACAUAAAAGUCUCUCCAUCUCAACUUACGAGUGAUCCUUGCAAUCUCAACCACCACCACUUAAAUUCAACACUUAAAGGUAUUCUACACACUUUUUCUCGAUCAAUUUAAUAGAAUUUGUGCUAAUGAUUGAUUUUGAAUAUUUUAGGGUUUAAAAUUAGGGUUUUUUAGGAAACAAAUAUGGAUUUUUAUGAAUUAGAUUUAAAUUAUAUUAAUUAGUUAUAAAAUACAUUAAUUGGAGCUAUUCAUUUCAUUAUUUGUGAAGAAAAUUGAUGAUUUUAGAUUGUUUUCAAUUGUGAAUUAAGGUUAGGGUUAAGGAUUUUAGGUUAAAUUAGAGAUUAUGUUAAAUUAGCUAUAAAACAUAUUAAUUAGAAGUGAAAUACAUCUAUUGAGUUUAUAAUUAGGUUAUUUAUUAAGAAAAUUGAUAAAUUUAGAUUUUCACCGAUUAUGUUAUCAUUAUUUAUGGUUUAGAUUAUAUAUCAAUUUUGUUGCAAGAACAACAUUGCUCAGAAGUUAUUUGGAAUAGAGAGGCCAAUUGACUUGACUUGUAUUAGAAAAAAACUAAAAUUUAUUCACACUUUUAUUGCAAAUUGCAUGAUUUUUAAGGCAGUAAUCUUAUGACACCUUGUUAGUAUGCUAUUAUGGAUUUACACAAGCAUGUUCGCUUAUGUUUUAUUUAUAUUUCUUUUAUGAGUUUAGCCAACUACAAGCCAUACAUCUUGACUAAAAAUUAAUUAUGGUGUUGGUUAAGCAAUGGAGGCGCGAGACCCACAUAUGUCCACCUCCAUGUUGGUGAGAUUGUACCCAUGUUGUUGUAGGAUGUCACCAUAUUAACUAGCCUUUGAAUAAACAAAACUGUAAUAACAAGAUGUGAAGGGUUGGUUGAUAUAGAUGAUUUAUGUGAAUGUCUACUAGGAUGCGUGCCUUGAACACUACUUAUAAAGGUGAUAACAUCAAACUAGUGUGGUUGGACACUAACUUGAAUUAAGACCUCGCAAGGAUGUGAUAAAGGAUUGGUUGGUUAUGUAUACUCGAGCAUAUAUUAUUCAUGUGUUUAAGGGCUUUAUAUUCACGAGUACUACAACCGAUAUAGUGUCGAUGCUCUUCCUUACACUACUUGGGGACUUUUAGGUCAUUCCUAACUAUAAAUGGAGGGUUAUGCUCACUUAUUUCUACCAUUAACUAUGUAUAUCAUGUAUGAAGAAGAGGACACAAAUAGACGGGUAUCAAUUAUUUCUCCAUGUAUAAUUAUUUUAAGUAUUUUCCAACAAAGAAUGUACUUUGUUUGGUAGAAUUAGUUCCAUUUUGAAACUUAAACCAUAAAUGUAAAUUAAUAUAGCUCUGGUCAUGGAAGCAUCUCCAUAUCAAACAUCUAGAGAGUUGGGGUACUAAUAUAUUUAACGCUAAUACCUAGAGAUAACUCUUUAUAGAAUCUAGGUAAUAACAUUUAAUAAAUUAUGAAUUACACAUAAUUUAUAUAAAUUAAUCCACCCUUCUAGGUUCUGUUUUAAAGGCUUUGUUUAUAGGAAGGGUAACUAGCAUAAGAACAUUUUGUAGCAUGGGUGCCAUCUUUCCAACACUUAGCUGGAAUGUGCGAGUCUCACGCCUUCAUUUCUUCACUAAUGCUCUAAUUAAUCCAUAAUCAAGAUAGAUGUCCCAAAGCAUGUUGAUCUCAUAAAAACUAGUCUCUAUAAUAUAUGAAUAAACAUGCUCAUUCAAAUCCAUCAUAAUAUGAUAGCAAGGUGUCAUUGGAUCAUCGUUCUAGAAAUAAAUUAAUUUAUACAUAAUUUUUAAAAUAAUUUUGAGUUUAAAUAUGAGUCAAUUAUAUUUUUAUACAAGCUAACUCUUUUAUAUCUAUUUCAAAUUUCCAUGGAGCAAUGCUAGUAGUAAAACCAAUAUAUCAUCGGAACCUAGAUGUAUGGUCAAGUGGUCCUGUCGUUGGCCACCAAUACCCGAUGCAUCUUUUCAAAUUGCACUAUGUAUGUCCUAUGAAUAUGUCAAAACAAGUUGUUAAUAUUGCACCAAAAAGGAACAUAAAUUUAUGUAUUAAGUAGAAAUAAAUGCAAAUGUUCACAUAUGUUGUAUAGUUUGACAUGUUUUCAUGUUAUGAUCAUUUUCACUGUAAGUACCAUAUUAAUUUUGUUUAUCCUUCUUUAGCAUCCAUCUUAUUAUAUAGAUAAUAGGUCUUCUUGGACCCUUUUUUCAUUCUUUAUUUAGUUCGACAUCUAUGUAUUAUUGACCUAGUAUAUUCAGGUAAUAAUAGUGUGUUAAGUGAGGGUAAAAAAAUAGGAGUGAAUGUAUUUUUAUAGUUUUUGUUAGAAAAGAAAAGAUUCAUAAAUUGUUAUUGGUCAACAUUUCAUGGGGUAUAACAUGUAAUGAG
rnacentral:lncRNA from 1 species